rnacentral:rRNA from 1 species
AGUGAACGCUGGCGGUAGGCCUAACACAUGCAAGUCGAACGGCAGCACAGGAGAGCUUGCUCUCUGGGUGGCGAGUGGCGGACGGGUGAGGAAUACAUCGGAAUCUACUUUUUCGUGGGGGAUAACGUAGGGAAACUUACGCUAAUACCGCAUACGACCUACGGGUGAAAGCAGGGGACCUUCGGGCCUUGCGCGAUUGAAUGAGCCGAUGUCGGAUUAGCUAGUUGGCGGGGUAAAGGCCCACCAAGGCGACGAUCCGUAGCUGGUCUGAGAGGAUGAUCAGCCAAACGGGGACUGAGACACGGUCCAGACUCCUACGGGAGGCAGCAGUGGGGAAUAUUGGACAAUGGGCGCAAGCCUGAUCCAGCCAUACCGCGUGGGUGAAGAAGGCCUUCGGGUUGUAAAGCCCUUUUGUUGGGAAAGAAAUCCAGCCGGCUAAUACCUGGUUGGGAUGACGGUACCCAAAGAAUAAGCACCGGCUAACUUCGUGCCAGCCGCCGCGGUAA